rnacentral:lncRNA from 1 species
CAGCCAUCGUGACUAUGUAACCAGUAUUGGUCGGUGGCCCAAGGUCUCUCUCCUUUCAGGGUUCAACCUCCAACCUUAUUUCUGCUUCCUUCAUGUUGGAAUUCACACUGUGAGAAUUGUUGUCAUCCUUUCUCUACGACUCCAAGAGAAACUUUAUACUGGAGGAAGAAUAUUCUACCACUUUGGGAUGCUUCCAAAGAAAUGGGAUACCAAAGGAGUGAACUUCAGGUCAUUGGAAGUGGCCAAGCUGGAGGGCGACCUAUGGAGACAUGACCUUCAGUUCUUCCUGAGAUCGAUAAAGCUUAAAAGAAAAGAAAAAGCCAACUCAGCUUGUGCGUGGAUCCUGGACCUUGCUCUAAUACAGACCCCGCUCCUGGAGUGUAAGCCAUGCUUGACGGCUCAGCUUUCUUGUCACUAAUGAGUCUCGGCUUGGGUCAUGGAAAAACUGAAGAUGCAUUAGAUCAUCAAAGAAAAUGGCACAAACAACCCUGCAAAAGAAAGGAUCUUCUUCCAGAUUAAAUCUCUUAUAAUAUAACUCCUCUAUUGGAUGGUUAAUUCUAACUAUCCAAUGUCUCCCUUUUUUUUUCUUUAAUUUACCAGCCCGGGCAACAUGGUGAAACCCCAUUUUAACAAAAAAUACAAAAAAAUUAGUUGGGGGUGGUGGCAUGCGCCUUUAGUCCCAGCUACUCAGGAGGCUGAGCCUGGGAGGUCGAGACUGCAGUGAACCGUGAUCAUGCCACUGCACUCCAGCCUGGGUGACAGAAUGAGACCCUGUCUCAAAAAAAAGAAAAGUUAACAGCCUUUGCCAGAACUUUCUCAUAUGACCAUUGCCAAGUAGCCAUCAGUGACUUUCAUUUAGGAAACCAUAUUAAAUGAACCUACUGAACAUGCAGUUCUUGGUGUGGAACUCAAGAUCUGACUGCUUUCUCUUCUACUGACUUCACCUUGUUAGCAUAACAAGGCACUCAACACUCCUGUGGCUGAAUGAGUUUUGCCAUCAAUGAGAGAUAAUAAUUAUUCCCAAAGGGUUAUCUGAGUGUUGCUUAGGGAAUACUUACAAAGUGCUUACCGCACCCCCAGUUGGGCUCCAAGUCAGCUCACAGUGUUCCUUCCAAACACGCAGAGCUAGCUGGGGAUCAUAGCAACAUUGAAUUCAGAAGUAAGUGGCUUUCUGCUGUUUCUGUCCCCAGAUCUGAACAGUCCCAAGCAGAGACCCCCUAGGGAGCUCCCUCUGCCCUGGGCUUUGCUUUGAGCUCUGAAUGGGGUCUAUGGUGGGAGAAGAAAAGAGGGAGAAGAAUUGGCAUCUACUUAUGGGCUUUGUACUAAGGGCCCUGCCUUAUGCCAAAGGGAUCCAUGGAGCAGACUCAGGGCUUCUUUUACUGUGUGCUGUGUGUCCUCUUCAGUUCAUUUUCCUAAAAUCCAGGGCCAUCCAGCUUCCAGGGUUCAGGAGAGGAAUGGUUCGAUGGAGAUAGGACUGGGAGACAGAAGACCAGGCUCUAAAGACCAGUAUGAGCUUGGCCAAGUCAGUUAACCAGCCGGGACUUAGAUUUCUUCACCUGAAACAGAAGGGGCUGAGGAGAAAAUGCCUCUUUCAAUCACAGAAUUGUGCCAUUUUAGGCAUGGUAAAGUCCCAGAAAUCAUCAAGACCAACCUCCUCACUGAUGGAUGAAGAAAUGGGGUUGGAAGAGUCACUUCUG